rnacentral:rRNA from 1 species
UACGUAGGCAGCAAGCGUUGUUCGGAGUUACUGGGCGUAAAGGGUGUGUAGGCGGUUCCUUAAGUUUGCUGUGAAAUCUCCCGGCUUAACCGGGAGGGUGCGGUGAAUACUGAGGGACUAGAGUACGGGAGAGGAAAGUGGAAUUCCUGGUGUAGCGGUGAAAUGCGUAGAUAUCUGGAGGAACACCGGUGGCGAAGGCGGCAUCCUGGACCGACACUGACACUGAGGAGCGAAAGCCAGGGGAGCAAACGGG